rnacentral:rRNA from 1 species
GCUCAGGAUGAACGCUAGCGGCAGGCUUAACACAUGCAAGUCGAGGGGUAACGAUUUUGAGUAAUCAAAAGGCGACGACCGGCGCACGGGUGAGCAUCGCGUUUGUAACCUACCUCUGACUGGAGCAUAGCCCGAAGAAAUUCGGAUUAAUACUCCAUAAUACUGCGAGAAGGCAUCUUUUUUCAGUUAAAGCUUCGGCGGUCAGAGAUGGGCAUGCGUAACAUUAGCUGGUUGGUGAGGUAACAGCUCACCAAGGCUACGAUGUUUAGGGGGUCUGAGAGGAUGGUCCCCCACACUGGUACUGAGACACGGACCAGACUCCUACGGGAGGCAGCAGUGAGGAAUAUUGGUCAAUGGGCGAAAGCCUGAACCAGCCAUGCCGCGUGAAGGAUGACGGCCCUAUGGGUUGUAAACUUCUUUUAUACGGGAAGAAACCCCUCUACGUGUAGGGGGCUGACGGUACCGUACGAAUAAGCAUCGGCUAACUCCGUGCCAGCAGCCGCGGUAAUACGGAGGAUGCAAGCGUUAUUCGGAUUUAUUGGGUUUAAAGGGUGCGUAGGCGGAAAAUUAAGUCAGUGGUGAAAUCCUGCAGCUUAACUGUAGAAUUGUCAUUGAUACUGGUUUUCUUGAAUACAGUUGAGGUAGGCGGAAUGAGUAAUGUAGCGGUGAAAUGCUUAGAUAUUACUCAGAACACCAAUUGCGAAGGCAGCUUACUAAACUGUGAUUGACGCUGAGGCACGAAAGCGUGGGGAGCGAACAGGAUUAGAUACCCUGGUAGUCCACGCCGUAAACGAUGAUCACUCGUUGUUGGCAAUACACCGUCAGCGACUGAGCGAAAGUAUUACGUGAUCCACCUGGGGAG